rnacentral:tRNA from 1 species
UGUAGUCAAGUGUUAUUGUGCAUGCUUUGUUUUGGUUGAGGUGGUGAUUUGUUGUCGGCUACAAUA